AUGCAAGUCGAGGGGUAUAGUUCUUCGGAGCUAGAGACCGGCGCACGGGUGCGUAACGCGUAUGCAAUCUACCUUUUACAGAGGGAUAGCCCAGAGAAAUUUGGAUUAAUACCUCAUAGCAUUAUGAUAUGGCAUCGUAUUAUAAUUAAAGUUCCAACGGUAAAAGAUGAGCAUGCGUCCCAUUAGCUAGUUGGUGUGGUAACGGCACACCAAGGCUACGAUGGGUAGGGGUCCUGAGAGGGAGAUCCCCCACACUGGUACUGAGACACGGACCAGACUCCUACGGGAGGCAGCAGUGAGGAAUAUUGGACAAUGGGCGCAAGCCUGAUCCAGCCAUGCCGCGUGCAGGAUGAAGCAUCUAUGGUGUGUAAACUGCUUUUGUACAGGAAGAAACCCUCCCACGUGUGGGAGAUUGACGGUACUGUAAGAAUAAGGAUCGGCUAACUCCGUGCCAGCAGCCGCGGUAAUACGGAGGAUCCAAGCGUUAUCCGGAAUCAUUGGGUUUAAAGGGUCCGUAGGCGGCCUUAUAAGUCAGUGGUGAAAUCUCUCGGCUCAACCGGGAAAUGGCCAUUGAUACUGUAGGGCUUGAAUUAUUAGGAAGUAACUAGAAUAUGUAGUGUAGCGGUGAAAUGCUUAGAGAUUACAUGGAAUACCAAUUGCGAAGGCAGGUUACUACUAAUGGAUUGACGCUGAUGGACGAAAGCGUGGGUAGCGAACAGGAUUAGAUACCCUGGUAGUCCACGCCGUANACGAUGGAUACUAGCUGUUGGGAGCAAUCUCAGUGGCUAAGCGAAAGUGAUAAGUAUCCCACCUGGGGAGUACGUUCGCAAGAAUGAAACUCAAAGGAAUUGACGGGGGCCUGCACAAGCGGUGGAGCAUGUGGUUUAAUUCGAUGAUACGCGAGGAACCUUACCAAGGCUUAAAUGUAGAUUGACCGUUUUGGAAAC
rnacentral:rRNA from 1 species